GCCAGGCCCGCGCGGGAGUUUAAUCGAGUCGGCGCACAUGCGUGGCCGGAAGUCAUGAACAAUAAACAUUAUUUGUAUGCUUUGUAUGGAAGAAAAUGACAACGAAGAAAAUAAUAAAAAUUCGCAAAAGACAUUUGAAUUUAAUAAGAAGACGAUUACGAGAUACUCAAGAUCUAUUUGAAAUUCCAGACAAUACAUUUAGAAAAUUAUGUAGAGCUUAUACUACUAAAGGGCAAUACGGACGUCGAAUUGAGCAAGACUGAAGGUGCCGUCCCAUGUACACGGAAUCGAAACAACAAAACGGAUUUCUUACUAAAAAUGAGUUCACUAGCAUUCCGUUACGUAAGAAGUUUCUCUGUAUCGGAACCACCGGAAUCAUCGCCGGAAUGGUGUAGAGACGAUACAGAAUCAACAGAAUGUUAUGUCGAUUGCAGGCUAUGUCGAUCCAGAUACUGAUGGUUGAGAAUUUAACAAUUUUGAAGAAGAAAAUU